AGUGAACGCUGGCGGCAGGCCUAACACAUGCAAGUCGAACGGCAGCACAGGAGAGCUUGCUCUCUGGGUGGCGAGUGGCGGACGGGUGAGGAAUACAUCGGAAUCUACCUUUUCGUGGGGGAUAACGUAGGGAAACUUACGCUAAUACCGCAUACGACCUACGGGUGAAAGUGGGGGACCGCAAGGCCUCACGCGAUUAG
rnacentral:rRNA from 1 species